AUAAUGGGUCAGCGACUUAUAUUCUGUAGCAAGGUUAACCGAAUAGGGGAGCCGAAGGGAAACCGAGUCUUAACUGGGCGUUAAGUUGCAGGGUAUAGACCCGAAACCCGGUGAUCUAGCCAUGGGCAGGUUGAAGGUUGGGUAACACUAACUGGAGGACCGAACCGACUAAUGUUGAAAAAUUAGCGGAUGACUUGUGGCUGGGGGUGAAAGGCCAAUCAAACCGGGAGAUAGCUGGUUCUCCCCGAAAGCUAUUUAGGUAGCGCCUCGUGAAUUCAUCUCCGGGGGUAGAGCACUGUUUCGGCAAGGGGGUCAUCCCGACUUACC
rnacentral:rRNA from 1 species